rnacentral:rRNA from 1 species
GACGAACGCUGGCGGCGUGUUUAACACAUGCAAGUCGAACGGAAAGGCCCUGCUUUUGUGGGGUGCUCGAGUGGCGAACGGGUGAGUGACACGUGAGUAACCUGCCCUUGACUUUGGGAUAACUUCAGGAAACUGGGGCUAAUACCGGAUAGGAGCUCCUGCUGCAUGGUGGGGGUUGGAAAGUUUCGGCGGUUGGGGAUGGACUCGCGGCUUAUCAGCUUGUUGGUGGGGUAGUGGCUUACCAAGGCUUUGACGGGUAGCCGGCCUGAGAGGGUGACCGGCCACAUUGGGACUGAGAUACGGCCCAGACUCCUACGGGAGGCAGCAGUGGGGAAUAUUGCACAAUGGGCGGAAGCCUGAUGCAGCAACGCCGCGUGCGGGAUGACGGCCUUCGGGUUGUAAACCGCUUUCGCCUGUGACGAAGCGUGAGUGACGGUAAUGGGUAAAGAAGCACCGGCUAACUACGUG